UACGAAGGGGGCUAGCGUUGCUCGGAAUCACUGGGCGUAAAGCGCACGUAGGCGGAUCGUUAAGUCGGGGGUGAAAUCCUGGAGCUCAACUCCAGAACUGCCUUCGAUACUGGAGAGCUCGAGUCCGGGAGAGGUGAGUGGAACUGCGAGUGUAGAGGUGAAAUUCGUGGAUAUUCGCAAGAACACCAGUGGCGAAGGCGGCUCACUGGCCCGGUACUGACGCUGAGGUGCGAAAGCGUGGGGAGCAAACAGG
rnacentral:rRNA from 1 species